rnacentral:rRNA from 1 species
UACGGAGGGAGCUAGCGUUGUUCGGAAUUACUGGGCGUAAAGCGCACGUAGGCGGCUUUGUAAGUUAGAGGUGAAAGCCCGGGGCUCAACCCCGGAAUUGUCUUUAAGACUGCAUCGCUUGAAUCCGGGAGAGGUGAGUGGAAUUCCGAGUGUAGAGGUGAAAUUCGUAGAUAUUCGGAAGAACACCAGUGGCGAAGGCGGCUCACUGGACCGGUAUUGACGCUGAGGUGCGAAAGCGUGGGGAGCAAACAGG